rnacentral:rRNA from 1 species
AGAGUUUUAUCCUGGCUCAGGAUGAACGCUAGCGACAGGCUUAACACAUGCAAGUCGAGGGGCAGCAGGGGAGUAGCAAUACUCCCGCUGGCGACCGGCGCACGGGUGAGUAACACGUAUGCAACCUGCCCUUGUCAGGGGGAUAAGCGGAAGAAAUUCCGUCUAAUACCGCAUAACGCUGCGGGGAGACAUCUCCCUGCAGCCAAAGAUUUAUCGGACAAGGAUGGGCAUGCGGCGCAUUAGCUUGUUGGCGGGGUAACGGCCCACCAAGGCGACGAUGCGUAGGGGUUCUGAGAGGAAGGUCCCCCACACUGGUACUGAGACACGGACCAGACUCCUACGGGAGGCAGCAGUGAGGAAUAUUGGUCAAUGGCCGGGAGGCUGAACCAGCCAAGUCGCGUGAGGGAAGACGGUCCUAUGGAUUGUAAACCUCUUUUGUCAGGGAGCAAAAACUGCCACGCGUGGCAGGAUGAGAGUACCUGAAGAAAAAGCAUCGGCUAACUCCGUGCCAGCAGCCGCGGUAAUACGGAGGAUGCGAGCGUUAUCCGGAUUUAUUGGGUUUAAAGGGUCCGUAGGCGGACAGUUAAGUCAGCGGUAAAAUUGAGAGGCUCAACCUCUUCCCGCCGUUGAAACUGAUUGUCUUGAGUGGGCGAGAAGUAUGCGGAAUGCGUGGUGUAGCGGUGAAAUGCAUAGAUAUCACGCAGAACUCCGAUUGCGAAGGCAGCAUACCGGCGCCCAACUGUCGCUGAAGCACGAAAGCGUGGGUAUCGAACAGGAUUAGAUACCCUGGUAGUCCACGCAGUAAACGAUGAAUACUAAUUGUUCGGGUCGAGUGAGAUCUGAGUGAUACAGCGAAAGCGUUAAGUAUUCCACCUGGGGAGUACGCCGGCAACGGUGAAACUCAAAGGAAUUGACGGGGGCCCGCACAAGCGGAGGAACAUGUGGUUUAAUUCGAUGAUACGCGAGGAACCUUACCCGGGCUCAAACGACACAGGAAUGAUCUGAGAAAUCAGGCAGUCCUUCGGGACCUGUGUCGAGGUGCUGCAUGGUUGUCGUCAGCUCGUGCCGUGAGAUGUCGGCUUAAGUGCCAUAACGAGCGCAACCCCCAUCGACAGUUGCCAGCAGGUCAAGCUGGGCACUCUGUCGAGACUGCCGGCGCAAGCUGUGAGGAAGGCGGGGAUGACGUCAAAUCAGCACGGCCCUUACGUCCGGGGCGACACACGUGUUACAAUGGCAGGUACAGCGGGAAGCCACCUGGCGACAGGGAGCGGAACCCGAAAGCCUGUCUCAGUUCGGAUUGGAGUCUGCAACUCGACUCCAUGAAGCUGGAUUCGCUAGUAAUCGCGCAUCAGCCACGGCGCGGUGAAUACGUUCCCGGGCCUUGCACACACCGCCCGUCAAG